CCCGGCGGUCUCGGACGGCCGCAUGACUGUCCGAGUGAAGAUUUAUCGGUAUGAGAUGGCGAUGCGUCCCAUUAGCUUGUUGGUGAGGUAAUGGCUCACCAAGGCAUCGAUGGGUAGGGGUUCUGAGAGGAAGGUCCCCCACAUUGGAACUGAGACACGGUCCAAACUCCUACGGGAGGCAGCAGUGAGGAAUAUUGGUCAAUGGACGAAAGUCUGAACCAGCCAAGUAGCGUGCAGGAUGACGGCCCUCUGGGUUGUAAACUGCUUUUAGUUGGGAAUAAAAAGAGGGACGUGUCCCUUAUUGUAUGUACCAUCAGAAAAAGGACCGGCUAAUUCCGUGCCAGCAGCCGCGGUAAUACGGAAGGUCCAGGCGUUAUCCGGAUUUAUUGGGUUUAAAGGGAGCGCAGGCGGCGGCGUAAGUCAGUUGUGAAAUCGUGCGGCUUAACCGUGCAAUUGCAGUUGAUACUGCGUCGCUUGAGUGCACACAGGGAUGUUGGAAUUCAUGGUGUAGCGGUGAAAUGCUUAGAUAUCAUGAAGAACUCCGAUCGCGAAGGCAUAUGUCCGGAGUGCAACUGACGCUGAGGCUCGAAAGUGUGGGUAUCAAACAGGAUUAGAUACCCUGGUAGUCCACACAGUAAACGAUGAAUACUCGCGGUUGGUUCGUUAGAAUCAGCCGCCAAGCGAAGGCGUUAAGUAUUCCACCUGGGGAGUAC
rnacentral:rRNA from 1 species